UUUCUCGCGGCUACCUGAUUGGCGUGCCGCGCACUGCAAUUUGCAUUCCCUCCGCCCCCCCGACGUUCCCGCCUCAACCCCGAAGCGAUUUGCAUAUUCCGCGCGACGUUUUGCCUCCGCCAGGGUAGCGGCGAUCUCAUUGGCCGGGGACUGCCCCGCCUACUGCCCCGGCCCCCUCCAGCCUCCCCGCCCGCUCCCCCGCCGGGUACACCCGGUCCCCGCCUCGGCUCAUCCCCGGGGGACCCCACCGGAGCGGGGCCAGGGGCCGCGCUCGGCGGUACCGGAGCCACACGGAGCCGCCGGUCACGGCCUAGCCCAGCCCCGGGGCCGGGAGACAAGAUGGAGAGAGCGGAGACGAAUUGGCUAGGGAACAGAACGCAACAGCCCAGCUGGAAGGGACUGACCCCACUCAUCUCUGACUGCCUCAGGGCUGACCCAAAAUGAAACGACAGCAGUUGAACGCCAACAGGCAACACGAAAAUGAAUCGAGCUUCCAGCCGUCCUUGUGGUUGGAGUCCCCAGAUUCCCUGACACUUGUAAUAGGGAAAAUUUAAGAAAUAAAAACCUCGCCACGGGUCAAG